AAGGGGUAUUAUUGGUUUCUCCUGGGUCUCCCCACCUCCCUAUUUUCCCUUCCCGUAUUUGCCUCCCUUUUUUUGCAUCCUAGACCACAGCCUCCCUACCGUCCUGCUCUGGAAUUCAUCGCCUGCCUGCCUGCCGACAGCCACCCCAGGACACGCCUGCUUCAUCAUUCCUCGGAACCUCAGCCAAGACAACUCCAGCCCCUCAUCCAUGGUGUUCCCUGGGCCAUCAGUUGUCCCCUUCUUUUCUCUGUAUCUCAUCUGUCUUCCACGCCAUCCUUCUUCUCUAGGCCCUUUCUGCUGUCUCCCAAAAAGUGUGGCUUUGCUCUCAAACCCAGUUUGUUUUUUUUAAGAAACUUCAACUCCCCACAUCGCCUGCAGGCUUCAAGGAAAGUGGAGAUGUCAGCCGGGGGUGGGUGAGGAGGGCCAGGCGGAGAGAUGCCAGCUGCACCCAAAUGCAGUGUACUAAGUGCUGGAGAGAGUGCAAUACCAAUGAAGUACAAUGAAGGAGCCGUUUUACUGUGUCUGCAUCGUCGACCUGGCAGCUGUCCCUGCAGCCCCAUAUUGCAGGGGGGAUGUGGGGGCAGCCUGGUGAGGCGGAGCAGGGAAACCGGGUGCGAGGAGGUGGGGUUGGAGGUUUGAACAACUAAGCCCCACUGCCACUAGUUCCCCCCUGAUUCUCAAGGGGAGCACCAUUUCAGGGGGGACAGUGGCAGUGCCAGGAAGGAGGGCAAAGGAGUAUUAUCAGUUUCUCCUGGGUCUCUCCCCUUCCCUGUCUUUCCCUUCUCCUCUUUACCUCCCCUUUUUUUCCAUCCUGGAACACAGCCCCCUUACUGUCCUGCUCUGGAAUUCAUCGCCUGCCUGCGCCCUCACCUCCUGCUCUGGAAGUCGUCACCUGCCUGCCGAAACCCACCCCAGGACCCGCCUGCUUCAUCAUUCCUCGGCACCUCAACCGAGACAACUCCAGCCCCUCUCCCAGGGUGUCCCCUGGGGCCUCCAGCUGUCUCUAACCUUCUCCAGCGCCCCUUCUCCCUCCUCUCUUCUCUCCACCUCCCCCACCCAGGACACACACACAUUUCCAGGAAUAAUUCAUAAAAAUGUAUUAACUUCAGUUUCUAGCCUGAGGAACCCCCCUCCCCAACUUGUUUGUGGAUGGGGUCUUUGAGAGCACUCUGGAGGGCAGCCCUGAACUGAACUGUUUUCAGCCGGACCUGAAAUAGCCAACCUGAAAACCAGCACAAGUGAAGAUAGACUCCCACACAGGAACUAUCACAACUUUGCCUGGAACUGUUGAAGUUGGAGCAGGAGCGUGAACUGCUGAGGAAUAUUGACAGAGCUCUCAGGGAAGAAAAUAUUUUCUCGAGGAUUGGCAGAAAAUCUCUGGCACAGGACAACGAGAAAAUAGCAAGCUACCGAAGCUACCGGAUCAAUUAAUGCUGUGUGCUCACCAGCCCAGCUAUGAUGCUGAAUUUGUCAAGACUUUGAAAGUCUUCUAUUAAAGCAUGAACAAAGUGAAGGGGCAGUUACAGCAGCCGAGACAUUACAGAGCACUUGGGCCGGAGUUGGCUGUUCCGUUCCCCGACUCGUCACAAUGUCAGACAGACAGCACUUGGGUCAUCCUGCAGCAAGCGUUCACAGGUUCCUGAAACAGCUCCGCAUCCACACUUGCCUGCUGUGUGACUUUGGGAGGAUGACAAGCAGUUGCAUCUUUUUCCUGAAAGAUAGACACAUAUGCUCAAGAACUUUGAGGAACGACUAGACUCCAGGCUCUGGAAACCAAAAAACGAUGUUGCACUUAUAAGUCAAAAGAAGAGAGAAAAUUCAGUGCCUAACAAAUGCUCAAACUCUACCUGCUUAGCACAUCUUUGAAGGCUAAUAGGUUUUGCAUAACUCAGAAAGAUUUUCAAACCCCCUCAUAUUCAGUUUGUAAACCUGUCAUACUGAAUUGGGAACUGCCAAGUUCUGUGAAAGUAAUACAUUUUAAGUCUUAUGCCUUAAAUUUUUGUUUUGUUAACUGGAAAAUGCAAAUUAAGGGGCCUGGGUUUAUCUAAGCUCAGUGCUCCUAUGAGAUGGGAGACACGUUUAGGACUAUGAGCAAUAUGAGGCUUGGAAAUCAAGAUGAUGAUGAUCA